AACUAAGCAUAUCAAUAAGCGGAGGAAAAGAAACCAACAGGGAUUGCCCUAGUAACGGCGAGUGAAGCGGCAACAGCUCAAAUUUGAAAUCUGGCUCUCGGGCCCGAGUUGUAAUUUGUAGAGGAUGCUUUUGAUGCGGUGCCUUCCGAGUUCCCUGGAACGGGACGCCAUAGAGGGUGAGAGCCCCGUCUGGUUGGAUGCCAAAUCUCUGUAAAGCUCCUUCAACGAGUCGAGUAGUUUGGGAAUGCUGCUCUAAAUGGGAGGUAUAUGUCUUCUAAAGCUAAAUACCGGCCAGAGACCGAUAGCGCACAAGUAGAGUGAUCGAAAGAUGAAAAGCACUUUGAAAAGAGAGUUAAAAAGUACGUGAAAUUGUUGAAAGGGAAGCGUUUAUGACCAGACUUGGGCUUGGUUAAUCAUCUGGGGUUCUCCCCAGUGCACUUUUCCAGUCCAGGCCAGCAUCAGUUUUCCCCGGGGGAUAAAGGCGGCGGGAAUGUGGCUCUCUUCGGGGAGUGUUAUAGCCCGCCGUGUAAUACCCUGGGGGGGACUGAGGUUCGCGCAUCUGCAAGGAUGCUGGCGUAAUGGUCAUCAACGACCCGUCUUGAAACACGGACCAAGGAGUCGUCUUCGUAUGCGAGUGUUCGGGUGUCAAACCCCUACGCGUAAUGAAAGUGAACGCAGGUGAGAGCUUCGGCGCAUCAUCGACCGAUCCUGAUGUUCUCGGAUGGAUUUGAGUAAGAGCAUACGGGGCCGGACCCGAAAGAAGGUGAACUAUGCCUGUAUAGGGUGAAGCCAGAGGAAACUCUGGUGGAGGCUCGCAGCGGUUCUGACGUGCAAAUCGAUCGUCAAAUAUGGGCAUGGGGGCGAAAGACUAAUCGAACUU
rnacentral:rRNA from 1 species